UCCUCCAGGUCCCCACGCAACAAUGAGGCGUGGGCGGCCCCAGCGGCCUCAUUUGCAUACCGCCGCGGCUCGGCCAAUGGGCUGCGCAGGGGCUGCGGAGCGCAGUGUUGCCAUCUGCGUGCGCGCGUGUGUGCGAGUGUGACAGCGGCUGUGGCCGUGGCCGUGGCCGUGGGAGGCGGGCCCGGCGGAGCCCAGCCGCGCGGGACCGGCCCGGCGCCCGCUCCUCAGCGCGUCGCGGCCGCGUGGCCGGCAGAGCCCCGAGACCACCCGGCCCGGCCGGUGGCGGCCGCGAUGUCGGUGGCCGGGCUGAAGAAGCAGUUCCACAAAGCCAGCCAGCUAUUUAGUGAAAAAAUAAGUGGUGCUGAAGGAACGAAACUAGACGACGAGUUUCUGGACAUGGAAAGGAAAAUAGAUGUUACCAAUAAAGCUGUUGCAGAAAUUCUCUCAAAAACCACCGAAUAUCUUCAGCCAAAUCCAGCAUACAGAGCUAAGCUAGGAAUGCUGAACACCGUGUCGAAGAUCCGAGGGCAGGUGAAGACCACCGGGUACCCGCAGACGGAAGGCUUGCUGGGGGACUGCAUGCUGAAGUACGGGAAGGAGCUCGGGGAAGAGUCCACCUUCGGCAACGCACUGAUAGAAGUUGGCGAGUCCCUGAAGCUGAUGGGCGAGGUGAAGGACUCUCUUGAUAUCAACGUGAAGCAAACUUUCAUUGAUCCACUUCAGUUACUGCAAGAUAAAGAUUUAAAAGAGAUUGGGCACCACCUGAAAAAGCUGGAAGGCCGCCGCCUGGAUUACGAUUAUAAAAAGAAGCGAGUAGGUAAGAUACCAGAUGAAGAAGUCAGACAAGCGGUAGAAAAAUUUGAAGAGUCAAAGGAGUUGGCUGAAAGAAGCAUGUUUAAUUUUUUAGAAAAUGAUGUAGAACAAGUCAGCCAGUUGGCCGUGUUUAUAGAGGCAGCACUAGACUAUCACAGACAGACCACGGAGAUCCUGCAGGAGCUUCAGAGCAGGCUGCAGAUGCGAAUAUCGGCUGCCUCCAGUGUCCCCAGACGAGAGUACAAGCCGAGGCCCAUGAAAAGGAGCUCGAGUGAACUCAGUGGAGUUCCCGCCACCUCUGCCGCAGCAAAAACGACAGCCUACUGCAGACUGGAGCCAGCAGAUUAGAAAGGCCCGGGGACUGCUUCGGGAAGGCCCACUGACAGCGGGAAAAGGUGACAGGUCGCAGCCCGACUACAAGGGAGGCAAGAGAAAAACUAUAAAAAGCAGGAACAAAAACUCAAAAGGCACAGCAGUCUGGGGCAUUUACUAAAAGACAAAGAGCCCUCCUCAGGUUCUAACGUUCCCAUGGACCAGCCCUGCUGCCGUGGUCUCUAUGACUUUGAGCCAGAAAACCAAGGAGAAUUAGGAUUUAAAGAAGGGGACAUCAUUACGUUAACCAAUCAGAUAGAUGAAAACUGGUAUGAAGGAAUGAUACACGGGGAGUCUGGAUUCUUCCCCAUUAACUAUGUUGAAGUGAUCGUGCCUUUACCUCAGUAAACGUGUAACAAAAACUGUGGACAUCCUUUCAUAACUGAAACGAAUUCACGCCGGUGUUCCCUCAGUGUGUUCUGUGACGUCCUUGCUCUCUGACCAACUUAAUGACUUUUGUAUGUGUGUUCUCUUUAUAAUGUAUUUUGUAUCGAUUUAAUUUGUAUAAAUGAUGUUCUUGCCCUAGCUACAUGAAAAUAUAGUUUUCUUUUUUGCUUAUUCUCCUAAAAGUCAUUGGUUAAAUGUAUGUGCUUCCUGUUGCUAAAAAUAAACCACACCCACUGCAGUUAUGAUGUCAGCCAGUUGCCUAUAUUCCUCGGCUGCAGUGGAAUGCAAAGUCUGAAACUAAGAAAUGCUCAAUAUUUUGUUUCUUGACAUUACUGAUGGCAUCUGGUCUUUUCCCUUCAUUGUAUUUUGAGCUUACCUGUGAAUAGCCCCAAUAAACAUGACACUGUGUUGGCAAAA